AUCCCGCUGUAGUUCAUAAGCAUGAUGAUUGGGUGUUCACGGGCAGGUGGGGCAAGUGCCUUCCCAGAAGCUUGUUACAAACUCAGCACAUUACUGGCCUAACA
ensembl:snoRNA